GCGCCCGUAGCUCAACGGAUAGAGUACCUGACUUCGGAUCAGGGGGUUGAGGGUUCGAAUCCUUCCGGGCGCA
rfam:Candidatus Wildermuthbacteria bacterium RIFCSPHIGHO2_02_FTLL_49_9 rifcsphigho2_02_scaffold_14776, whole genome shotgun sequence.